rnacentral:rRNA from 1 species
GACGAACGCUGGCGGCGUGCUUAACACAUGCAAGUCGAGCGGGGUCCAACCAGUAGCAAUGCUGGGGAAGACCUAGCGGCGAACGGGUGAGUAACACGUGAGCAACCUGCCCCGAAGUUUGGGAUAACACCAGGAAACCGGUGCUAAUACCAAAUGCCUUCACCAAGUCACCUGGCUUAGUGAAGAAAGAUUUAUCGCUUCGGGAGGGGCUCGCGACCUAUCAGCUUGUUGGUGGGGAAUGGCCCACCAAGGCUUCGACGGGUAGCUGGUCUGAGAGGACGACCAGCCACACUGGGACUGAGACACGGCCCAGACUCCUACGGGAGGCAGCAGUGGGGAAUCUUGCGCAAUGGGGCGAAAGCCUGACGCAGCAACGCCGCGUGGGGGAUGAAUGCCUUCGGGUUGU